GAGUUUGAUCGUGGCUCAGGACGAACGCUGGCGGCGUGCUUAACACAUGCAAGUCGAACGGAAAGGCCCUGCUUUUGUGGGGUGCUCGAGUGGCGAACGGGUGAGUAACACGUGAGUAACCUGCCCUUGACUUUGGGAUAACUUCAGGAAACUGGGGCUAAUACCGGAUAGGAGCUCCUGCUGCAUGGUGGGGGUUGGAAAGUUUCGGCGGUUGGGGAUGGACUCGCGGCUUAUCAGCUUGUUGGUGGGGUAGUGGCUUACCAAGGCUUUGACGGGUAGCCGGCCUGAGAGGGUGACCGGCCACAUUGGGACUGAGAUACGGCCCAGACUCCUACGGGAGGCAGCAGUGGGGAAUAUUGCACAAUGGGCGGAAGCCUGAUGCAGCAACGCCGCGUGCGGGAUGACGGCCUCGG
rnacentral:rRNA from 1 species